UCGUAACAAGGUUUCCGUAGGUGAACCUGCGGAAGGAUCAUUACCGUGUUGGUUGAGCGCCCCUCCCCCCCGGGUCCCCCGGGGGCCGGGCGCCCCUACCUCCACCCGUGUCUACCCCAUUCCGUUGCCUCGGCGGGCCCGCCAGCCACCAGCCUGGCGGUCUCCGGGCGUCCCCUCCUGGGGGCGGCCCCGGGGGCCCGCGCCCGCCGGUGGAACCGUGAACGAACUCUGUGAGAAGCCAGUCUGUCUGAGCACGAAUGUGAAAUCAUGUAAAACUUUCAACAACGGAUCUCUUGGUUCCGGCAUCGAUGAAGAACGCAGCGAAAUGCGAUAAGUAAUGUGAAUUGCAGAAUUCCGUGAAUCAUCGAAUCUUUGAACGCACAUUGCGCCCCCUGGUAUUCCGGGGGGCAUGCCUGUCCGAGCGUCAUUGCAACCCCCUCAAGCCCGGCUUGUGUGUUGGGGGUGCCCACCCCGAAGUCCUCGGGCGCGGGCCCCCCCCAAAUGCAGUGGCGGCACCGAGUUCCUGGUGUCUGAGUGUAUGGGAAUCUGUUUCUGUCUCGCUCGAAGACCCGAUCGGCGCCCGUCGUCAACCCCCCA
rnacentral:misc_RNA from 1 species